UACAGAGGGUGCAAGCGUUGUUCGGAAUUAUUGGGCGUAAAGGGCGCGUAGGCGGUGCCACAAGUCACCUGUGAAAUCUCCGGGCUUAACUCGGAGCCUGCAGGCGAAACUGUGGUGCUGGAGUGUGGGAGAGGUGCGUGGAAUUCCCGGUGUAGCGGUGAAAUGCGCAGAUAUCGGGAGGAACACCGGUGGCGAAGGCAGGUCUCUGGGCCACUACUGACGCUGAGAAGCGAAAGCGUGGGGAGCGAACAGG
rnacentral:rRNA from 1 species